rnacentral:rRNA from 1 species
AUUGAACGCUAGCGGAAGGCCUAACACAUGCAAGUCGAACGAGUGGCGGACGGGUGAGUAAUGUCUGGGCAACUGCCUGAUGGAGGGGGAUAAGUACUGGAAACGGUAGCUAAUAACGCAUACCAUCAGAUGUGCCCAGAUGGGAUUUGCGAGUGUGGGGGGUAACGGCUCACCAAGGCGACGAUCCCUAGCUGGUCUGAGAGGAGGACCAGCCACACUGGGACUGAGACACGGGCCAGACUCCUACGUGAGGCAGCAGUGGGGAAUAUUGCACAAUGGGCGCAAGCCUGAUGCAGCCAUGCCGCGUGUAUGAAGAAGGCCUUCGGGUUGUAAAGUACUUUCAGCGGGGAGGCGUUACCCGCAGAAGAAGCACCGGCUAACUCCGUGCCAGCCGCCGCGGUAAUAC